rnacentral:rRNA from 1 species
UACAGAGGUGGCAAGCGUUGUUCGGAAUUACUGGGCGUAAAGGGCGCGUAGGCGGCCUACUAAGUCAGACGUGAAAUCCCCCGGCUUAACCUGGGAACUGCGUCUGAUACUGGAAGGCUUGAGUAUGGGAGAGGGAUGUAGAAUUCCAGGUGUAGCGGUGAAAUGCGUAGAUAUCUGGAGGAAUACCGGUGGCGAAGGCGGCAUCCUGGACCAUUACUGACGCUGAGGAGCGAAAGCCAGGGGAGCAAACGGG